AUGAAUUGGUUGGAAUUAGCUUACCUUUGAAGGAGUUGUAUUCGAAAAUAAACAUUGGGGAAGAUGAUGUCCGCAUUAUAGGAAUUUGCGGAAUGGGUGGCAUCAGUAAAACAACUCUUGCAAGGGUUGUUUACACUCAAAUGUCACCUCAUUUUGAAGGCAAAAGCUUUCUUGCUGAUAUUCGAGAAGUUUCAAACAAAUGUGGACUUGUUUCUUUACAGAAACAACUUCUUUCUCAAAUCUUGCCAAAUGGAUGCUUCAAUUUUUUCAAUGUUCAUGAAGGGAAUGUCAUAAUUAGCCGCAGGUUAUCUAGUGAAAAGGUUCUUGUUGUUCUUGAUGAUGUUGAUAAUGUACAACACUUGAAAUGCUUGGUUGGAAGGCGUGAUUGGUUUGGUUUAGGGAGUCGAAUCAUUGUAACAGAAAGAGAUGAACAUAUACUCCGAUCUUGCGGAGUCGAUGGUUUGUAUAAGCCUAAAACAUUGAAUCCAGACGAUGCACUUAGACUUUUCAAUUUGAAAGCUUUUCAUAGUGAUACAGUGCCAAAAGAUGAUUUCAUUGAGCUUUCUGAAGAGGUUGUAUGUUAUGCUAGUGGUCUCCCCUUAGCUCUUGAAGUUUUGGGUUCAUUUUCGUGCGAUAGAGAUAUAGUUCAAUGGAGAAGUGCAAUCGAAAGACUUAAAGAAGAUUCUAACAAAGAAAUUCUUAACACGCUAAGAAUUAGCUUUGAUGGAUUGGAAGAAAAGGAAAAGAAUAUAUUUCUAGAUAUAGCAUGCUUUUUCAAUGGUGAGAACAGAGAUUUGGCAAUGAAAGUAUUGGAUGGUUGUGAGUUUUUUCCAGAUAUUGGAAUCGAUAUUUUCAUUAAGAAAUCUCUCAUAAAAGUUAGUGAUGACAACCAAACUUUGCAGAUGCAUGCCUUGUUGCAGGAAAUGGGAAGAAAAAUUAUUGAAGAAAAAUGUGUUAAUGAACCUGGAAAACGUUACAGAUUGUGGAAGGAAAAGGAUGUCCAUCAUGUUCUAACAAAAAAAACGGUAAUCCAUUCAACAAAAUUUACAUACAAAAUUUUAUUUUAUCAAUAUAUGGUGUAAAUCCAAAGCUUAGUCUAAUUGGUUUAUAUAUCGACCUUAAGUGACAUCGAGUAACUUUAAGAUAAUUUUCAUUUGUUGAUUAUAAAUAUUAAUAAUGAUUUGUAAUAUAAAUAUUUAAUUUUAUUGAAUUACUCUCAUUAGAAUAUAUUUUAUUUACUAUAUUUUGACCAAAAGAUUGCGAUAAUGUUGAACAUGUAUGUAAAAUUUUAAAAUUUUUAUCGUAUAAUUUUAGAGCAUUAAUUUUAUCUUCUUAUUAUCGAUUCUUGAUUACUUUCAGGCUACUGAAGUGAUAGAAGGCAUGAUCAUCGACAAUAAAAGGUAGGAAAAGAAACAUAUAAAUUUAUCAAUAUGUACUCCUAGUAUUGUUAUUAUUUUUUUUUUUUGUAAAAAGUCCAAUAAAAAACAACAACAAAAAGACCUUUUGACUUUGCUUGUCAGAGUUGACAGAAAAUUGAAAGAUAAUACAUGUCCCUUCUCACUAAUAUAAAAUGAUCAUUUCUCCCUUUUUUUUCAUCUCACUUUUCUUCUUUACCAAACACAAUUCAUCCUCAUAUCCCUUAACUUUUCCACUCAACCAAGUACACCCUUAAAGCUUAAUUUCUUUUAUGUUCUAUUUAUAAAAUUUAUAUAGGAACACAUUACUUUUUCAAAAGAAAUUAUAAAGAGGUGUGUCAUUGUCUUUGCUAAUGUUAAUGGUUUAUAUUUGAUGUAAUGAAAAUCUAUAUCAAUGAACUAGGUUAUAACAUGUCAUUAUAAGUUUUUAAAAAUAAAUUCAGGUCAUGCCACCAUUUGGUUCACUGGUAAUGUAUAGAACUAUACAUCAGUGCACCAAACAUAAAUCAAAAUAUUAGUUCUAGUUUUUUUAGGCUUAGGUAAUUAAAAGUCGAAUAUAAAUGUUAGAUAAAGUAUUGUCUAAUAUGUUAAUCAUAUCUCAAUACCAUAUUCAGAUAUGCAAUAGAUAUAGAUAUGGAUACUUAAAAAAGCAAUAUCGAUCCAGCAUGGCUUUUAGAUAUUGAAUGUUUUUGUAUAUUCUGAAGCUUAUUUUUGUUUUGCUCAUGGUUAUUAGGGAAUCAAGCAAGAUGCUCAAUUUGAGUACCGAUACCUUUUCGAAGAUGAAAAAAUUGAGAUUGCUCAAAGUGCUUUGUGUCUCAAAUUGUGAUGAUAUCAAAUAUCUUUCUAAUGAACUACGGCUUUUAGAUUGGACAAGAUAUCCUUUAAGAUACUUGCCUUCAAGUUUUUAACCGGACAACCUUGUCGCACUUCUUUUACCAUUUAGUCACAUUGAACAACUAUGGAAGGGAAACAGAGUAAGAAUUAAACUCAUUGUUUUAUCUUAUUUUAAUAUAAAUGAUUAAACUUUGGUUAAGGUAAAGAAUACAAAAAUUAGCAUUAUUAUGUUUUCUGUCUAAUUAUUUAUGGUUUUCAACAGCCCUUGUAUAAGUUGAAAAUAAUGAACCUCAAAGGGUCCCAAAACCUGAUCAAGAUACCAGACUUCACAACAGCAUCAAAUCUUGAAGUUUUGAUUUUGGAAGGUUGUACCAAAUUAGUGGAUGUUCAUCCAUCAAUCGGAAUGCUUAAGAGCCUUAAACUUUUGAAUUUAAGAGAUUGCAAAAGUCUUAGGAAUCUUCCGACCAAAUUUGGAUUGGAAUCUCUUGAAACAUUAAUUCUUUCGGGUUGCUCAAGUCUUGUAAGGUUUCCGGAGAUUGAUAGAAAAAUGGAACGUCUAAAAACUCUAUAUCUUUUUGGUUGUUAUAGAGUAGAAAAUUUGUCGGAGAAUUUGCAGCAAGCAAAGUUACGACCAAAUUUGUCUUCUCUUUUCAAGGUAAUCGUAGGAAGAAGGAAGAAUCCCAUGCCUCAGAUGUUGCCUUCGCUGUUAGGUUUGAGUUCAUUAAGAGUGCUAGAACUAAGGGACUGCAAUCUUUGUGAAGGAGAUAUUCCACGUGAUAUUUCUGGUCUAUCCUCUUUGAGGUCUCUUGAUCUUAGUGGUAACAAUUUCAUCAUCAUACCUGCAUCUCUUACUCGACUACUAUCCAUGCUUGGGUUUCUUGCAUUGGAAUAUUGCAAGAUGCUUAAAUCGUUUCCUGAGAUGCCGACAACUAUAGGACUAGUGUCUCUAAAUGGUUGUUCUUCACUUGAAGUAUGCAAUUUAGUGGAUACGGCUGCCUUUCGUGAAGUAGGCUAUUUCUGUUCAGAUGCCUUUAAAGCCAUUAACUGCUUCAAAUUGGCCGAGAAUAUGAAUUCAUUAACAGUGCUGAAAAAACAGCUUAAGGUCGAUUAAUCUCCAUUUUCUCCCUUACAAAAUCUCAUACUUGAGAAUUUGUGGUUUUAGUUACCAAACGACUUGUGUUUCAUUUUGCAGGCAUUUGCAAAUUCAAGAGAAAUGUUUGAUAUUAUUAUGCCCGGAAGUGAAAUCCCAGAAUUGUUUAGCCAACAAACAAGUGACUCUCCAAUUAACAUUCCCCUGCCUAUCCUCCUUCAGAAAGAUAGUCAAUGGAUUGGAGUUGCUUGCUGCUGCAUUUUUGUCAAUAAUGAUGCUUCAAGGGAUGACAAACAGGAUAUCCUUUGUAGAGCAAAUAUCUAUUGUAGAAAUUCUGGACAAGACAGCUGUAAUGGAUAUAUUUUUCGAGGUAGAAAUGGUGGAUGGGACUGGUGGGGCUGGGGGCUGCCUGAACCAAUAAUGAAAGAUCACCUUUUUCUUCGUUAUUGGUCGCGUUAUAAAUUAUAUCCUUCCUUGGAGGAUAAAUGUCGCCAUUGUGAAAUCACUAAUUUAUGUAGAAUACAUUGCUUAGAUAAAAAAUGCGAUGAGCUUAAGGUGUCUUUCAUGGGCUUUGGUGUUAAGGUGAAGAAGUGUGGUUUUAGAAUAGUGUAUGAGAAAGAUUUGGAAGAGAUAAAAGAGUUGCAGUGCCAUACCACUCAAUCUUCUCCAAAUUUUGAACACAUCCACCAACACUCUUCUCACAAACUUGGAUUAGUAGGUAGCACUUCUCACAUAAAAUAGAAACCUAAUAUCUACGAUGAAGCGGAGGAAGAAGGGCCGCAACCAAAACGGAUGCAACUUUUUUUCAAUUUUUUAUAAUUGGACAAUCCAGGAAGACGCAUUAGAUAUGGUAAAUUACUUAACCAACCUUGUCCUACUAAAUUUUUUUACUCAUCUACCUUGUUUACAUCUUUUAUUUUAUUUAAAGUAAUCAUUCUAGACUUAUUUGCAUAUGAGAGCUAUGAUCAUUUUAUUAUAUUCUAAUUUUUUUUUAAAAAUACCAUUUAAAAUUUUAUUCAUUUAAUUCAUUCCUUUUUUCAUAAUUGAAAUGUGUACAUUUUGAUAUUUAUUAAAAUUUUAUUCUCAUUAUAUAUAUUCACUUACAUCUAUAUUUUAUUUUUAGGUUGAAGUAAAUAUAAUCAAUUGAGAUAGAAAUGUGGAGAAAAAUAGAUAGCUUCGACGACGAUACAAGUAAUAAUAAGGUGAAAAUUCUUUAAUGAGGGUUAGAUCAUAAUUUCGGCUGAGUUAAAAACCAUUUUAUUUUUAUUUGAGACCAACUUAUGUGUUCAAUUUAAUCAAUCAAAAUUGUUUUUUUAUAUAUUUAGAAGAUUAAAUAUAAGUCCUUAAUAGUACUUAAAUAGAUUUAAUUCCUUCUAACAGAGGUACCAUUUAAAUUUCAUGGCUUGAAGUAUAAAUAAUAUUAUUCUAGCUCUUCAAUUUAUAUUUUUUACAAAGUAUUUAAGUUUAGACAUUUAUUUUGAAUACUUGUUCAAAUAUAAAAAUAAAGUACACACUUUUAAUUAUUUGGAAAAUCUUUUCCAUGUCAGAGACAUUUUCAUAUCCAAUAUUUUUUUUCAAAAUUCUAUAAUUUCAUUUUUGUUAUUGUCUAAUGUACUUACUGUUUAGAGAAAUAAAAAUAUGAUUUUGGGUCGAUACGAGUAAGAUUUUCAAUGAUUGUAUUUAUGUGAUAUCAACAAAAAUUUCUCAAUUUGAGGUAAGUUAAUAUAGAUGAUCUCAGUGCAACAAAAAUAAUGAUGGUGUUUUAUGUUUGUCCCCUAGACCAAGAGAAGCAUGAAAAUCUGCUCAAAGAAUCAUGCAAGUGAGGGACCAACAAAAGUCAUCAAGUUGGAAUGGAAGCGGACACUUUAGCAAUUAUAGGCUCGGACGAAUUUAGGGAAUUACCAAAAUAUAAGUAGUUGUUUUUAUCAUGUAAUGUAAUGUAAAUUAUACAUAUUGAAAUGAACGUUGAUUUUAAAAUGUAAUUUCAAAUAGUAAUUUAAUUGUAAUGUAAAUAAAACCUUUAAAAUUAGGCAUAAUGAUAAAAAAAGGUUCUUAGUGUUUAUAAAAUUUGACAAGUUGACCCGUUUUCAUUUCCUUUUAGUAAUUUGGUUCUUAACAUUUUAUUGAGUCAAAUUAUGAAUUUUUAAUGCAAAAUGCUGAUUGAACUAUUAAUUUAACAGUGUUGACAUAACAUUAUAGUCAAUUCAUUUCAUUCAUCAUUAAAAUUUUCAAGUGUAUCUCAAUUGGACCAUCUUUUCCUCCAACUCAAAGACGUGAUAAAGUGAAGAAAAUUGCAUUUGAUUACUGCACAAUUUUCUUCUGACUUCUUUCAUAAUUGAUGCACAACUAUGAUUGUUUUAAAUGAAUGAACUAUUCAAAUUAAAAACCAAUAGAAUGAAAUUAUCAAAUGUUUGCCUUUAUUUUGAAUCAAACGCUUAUUGUGUUGGUUCCCAAGGUGGCAAGACCGGAAUGACUAUCUCAUUUUAGACCGAUCAAUCUUUGUACGGUCUUGUUUUAGGUGAUCACUUAAACAAUUGCAACAAAAAUGAGAAGCUGGUUCGAGGAUUCAUUUGGGGUCAACAUUUGGCAAUCGGAAACCAACUUUAGUGAGCUGGUAUAAAUUUUGUAUGCCUUUGAAGAAUGGUGGAGUUAGGUUGAGGAAAGAACGAGACCACAGUAAAGCUUGCAUGAUUAAGGGUUAUUGUAAGAUGUCGCUAUUGUAAGAAGUUAGGUCACAUCAAAGGAGAUUGUUAUAAACUGCGAAUUAAAAGGGUUAUUGAGAGCAAUGAGGAAGGUGUGGCUCGUGCUAAUUUGGUCGACAAAAGCGGUGAUGAUUUUUUAUUAGUGUUAACAAGCGAUAGUCUUGAGCUUAUGUCCGAGUGGAUCCUAGAUUCGGAAUGUUUUUUUCACAUGUGUCCCAACAGAGAAUGGUUCUCCACAUACAGUUCGGUUGAAGGUGGAGCUGAGCAUACGGGAACGAUUCAUCUGGUAAGGUAAUUGGUAUUGGUACUAUUAAAAUUAGGAUGCACGAUGGGACGAUUAGGACACUCUCAGAUGUCAGGUAUGUACUUGAUUUACGAAAGAAUCCCAUCUCCUUAAGUAAUUUAGACUAAAAAAGUUGCAGAAUCAAUAUCGAGUCUAGCGACAUUAAGGUGUCUCGUGGGACUCUCGUUUUGUUAAAAGGUAAAAGAACCGACAGUCUUUAUUUUCUUUUUGAAGGUUCUACAUUGAUUAGUGAAAUCAGACAUCCCUCGUCUAUUAUGGAGUCAAAGUUAACUCGUUUGGAGCGGAGGUUCUCUUUUAGAUGUCGGUUUUGAAAAGUUAGAGCACUGUGUUUGUGAAAAUCAGACCCGGGUUAGUUUUGAUUUGGUAGUGCACAAGUUGAAAUCUAGAAGCAUUCCAGCUUCUAAACACAAAUUCAACUCAAUUAAUUCCCUGCAUAGUUCAAGAUAGGCUCCUGGUAGGCUUUAGUAUUAGAGUAUUGAAGGUUGUUAGUUAGUUAUGUAUCCGGUGAAGGUUGUUGCUCAAUAUGGAGCAGUUACUCAUGUCUAUAAAUACUGAACAUGUGUAUUCAGAUAGAAAGGUUUUUGAAUAAACAAACAAAAGAAACAAAAGAAGUUUUUCCAUUUAUAUUUUGCUAUCUGUUUGGCUAGAUAUUUCUUUCUAUUUUAUAUGACGGUACCUAUAUUCAAUGGCGCAAACAGGUAAAACUGAUAGUUGAUGGCUAUGGACUUACAGGAUUCUUAGAUGGCACUAUUGCUCCACCAUCACGUUUCAAUCUUCUACCCGAUGGCUCGCGUGCUCCAAAUCCGGCGGCUCAGGUGUUCAUGCAGCAAGAUCGACUUCUAACGUCCUGGCUUUUGUCGACUGUAAGCUCUUCUCAUCAAUCCUCCUUUGAUGAUGCUUGCACGGCUUGUGACGUAUGGAGUAUGGCCAUUAAUCUGUUUGCGGCUGAUACUGGCGCCAAGCAAUCGAGACUUCGGCAUGAGCUUCAUUCUUUGAAGAAAGGUAACCUUUCUAUUAAAGCUUAUGUUGCUAAGAUUAAAGAUCUCUGUGCUAUGUUAGAUGUGUCUGGUUCGCGUAUCUCUGAUGAAGAGAAGGUUGAAGUGGUGCUUGCGGGAUUGCCGUCGGAAUAUGAGGCGGUCAUCUCGUCGGUUCGUUUGUCGACUGGUGUACUGCCGUUAAAGCGUGUGGUUGAUGCGUUGGUUGAUUGUGAGAAUCGUCAAGUUUAGGUGUUGCAGGAGGUCAAUUUGAAUGCAAAUCUUGUUGAGACAUAUCCAAUUGUUCAUGAUGAAUUGGUUGGAAUUAGCUUGCCUUUGAAGGAGUUGUAUUCUGAAAUAAACAUUGGGGAAGAUGAUGUCCGCAUUAUAGGAAUUUUCGGAAUGGGUGGCAUCGGUAAAACAACUCUUGCGAGGGUUGUUUACACUCAAAUGUCACCUCAUUUUGAAGGCAAAAGCUUUCUUGCUGAUAUUCGAGAAGUUUCAAACAAAUGUGGACUUGUUUCUUUACAGAAACAACUUCUUUCUCAAAUCUUGCCAAAUGGAUGCUUCAAUUUUUUCAAUGUUCAUGAAGGGAAUG
rnacentral:lncRNA from 1 species